GGAUUGUGGCUCAGUGGUAGAGUACUCGCCUGGCACGUACGAGGCCCUGGGUUCAAUCCUCAUCACCA
rnacentral:tRNA from 1 species